GAUGAACGCUGGCGGCGUGCCUAAUACAUGCAAGUCGAGCGAACGGACGAGAAGCUUGCUUCUCUGAUGUUAGCGGCGGACGGGUGAGUAACACGUGGAUAACCUACCUAUAAGACUGGGAUAACUUCGGGAAACCGGAGCUAAUACCGGAUGAUAUUUUGAACCGCAUGGUUCAAAAGUGAAAGACGGUCUUGCUGUCACUAAUAGAUGGAUCCGCGCUGCAUUAGCUAGUUGGUAAGGUAACGGCUUACCAAGGCAACGAUGCAUAGCCGACCUGAGAGGGUGAUCGGCCACACUGGAACUGAGACACGGUCCAGACUCCUACGGGAGGCAGCAGUAGGGAAUCUUCCGCAAUGGGCGAAAGCCUGACGGAGCAACGCCGCGUGAGUGAUGAAGGUCUUCGGAUCGUAAAACUCUGUUAUUAGGGAAGAACAUAUGUGUAAGUAACUGUGCACAUCUUGACGGUACCUAAUCAGAAAGCCACGGCUAACUACGUG
rnacentral:rRNA from 1 species